rnacentral:lncRNA from 1 species
GAAGGCAUGGCGGCAGUUGGGACUAAGCAGGCACGUUUGGGUAAACCGGGUAAUUUAAUCUUGGGAAAUUAAUUUGUGGGGGCCUCAGUUUCUUCUUUUAUAAAUGUGGAGACUUACACGGCCUCCCAAGCCAAAGCCAGCUCUGGCCUUUCAGAAAGCAGGCAAGGGUGUAGGCGAGAACACACGGGCGUCUCCGCCUUCCCAGAGACGGAGCCUGCGAUGCUGCAGCAGGAGGAGCUGCUUGAGCGCUGUCUGUUCCCGUCCAGGGUUUAGCUUUUCGGGAGGCCAGAAGAGACAGCGAGUCCCUGUCGUGAGAAUUUUUGAGGACGCACAGGGCCUGGACAACGUUCUUUUUACAACUUAAUCGCUCCAAGCAGCAAAAUGCUUUGCCUGGUGGUUAUGUAAGAUGUAAGGCAUCUCAAAGUCGAAAGGAACUGCAUUAUUCAGCUGCUUUCAUUUACUCUGAAGACACCCGACUAUAUAGGUUAUGCAUGAAUUUCUCCCAUUUGCAGGAAUAAAGCACAGUAACCAAAAGUCAUCAAUGUUUUAUAAACUGUGACUAAUCUCUU